CAGAGGCCCCAAGCAUUACCCGGAAUCACUGGGCGUAAAGGAUGUGUAGGCGGUCGUAUUAGUCUUUCGUGAAAGCUCUCGGACUCAAUCCGGGAAACGCGGGAGAAACGGUACGACUCAGAGGAUGCGAGAGGUAAAGGGAACUCAUGGUGUAGGGGUGAAAUCCGUUGAUAUCAUGGGGAACACCAAAUGCGAAGGCACUUUACUGGCGCACUCCUGACGCUGAAACAUGAAAGAGUGGGAAUCGAACGGGAUU
rnacentral:rRNA from 1 species